UGCAGGCUGCAACCCGCCCGCAUGAAGUCGGAAUUGCUAGUAAUCGCGGAUCAGCAUGCCGCGGUGAAUACGUUCCCGGGCCUUGUACACACCGCCCGUCACACCAUGGGAGCCGGUAAUACCCGAAGUCAGUAGUCCAACCUCGUGAGGACGCUGCCGAAGGUAGGAUUGGCGACUGGGGUGAAGUCGUAACAAGGUAUC
rnacentral:rRNA from 1 species